rnacentral:rRNA from 1 species
UACGAGGGGAGCAAGCGUUGUUCGGAUUUACUGGGCGUAAAGGGCGCGUAGGCGGCGUGACAAGUCACUUGUGAAAUCUCCGGGCUUAACUCGGAACGGUCAAGUGAAACUGUCGUGCUAGAGUACAGAAGGGGCAACUGGAAUUCUCGGUGUAGCGGUGAAAUGCGUAGAUAUCGAGAGGAACACCUGCGGCGAAGGCGGGUUGCUGGGCUGAUACUGACGCUGAGGCACGAAAGCGUGGGGAGCAAACAGG